GUCCGCCUCACCGCGUGCACUGGUCCGGCCGGGCCUUUCCUCCUGGGGAGCCGCAUGCCCUUCACUGGGUGUGUCGGGGAACCAGGACUUUUACUUUGAAAAAAUUAGAGUGUUCAAAGCAGGCCUAUGCUCGAAUACAUUAGCAUGGAAUAAUAGAAUAGGACGUGUGGUUCUAUUUUGUUGGUUUCUAGGACCGCCGUAAUGUUUAAUAGGGAUAGUCGGGGGCAUCAGUAUUCAAUUGU
rnacentral:rRNA from 1 species